UACGGAGGGGGCUAGCGUUGUUCGGAAUUACUGGGCGUAAAGCGCACGUAGGCGGCCUUGUAAGUUAGAGGUGAAAGCCCAGGGCUUAACCCUGGAAUUGCCUUUAAGACUGCAUCGCUAGAAUCGUGGAGAGGUGAGUGGAAUUCCGAGUGUAGAGGUGAAAUUCGUAGAUAUUCGGAAGAACACCAGUGGCGAAGGCGACUCACUGGACACGUAUUGACGCUGAGGUGCGAAAGCGUGGGGAGCAAACAGG
rnacentral:rRNA from 1 species